rnacentral:rRNA from 1 species
CAAUAGCGUAUAUUAAAGUUGUUGCAGUUAAAAAGCUCGUAGUUGGAUUUGUGGCGUAUGGUGUGUUCCGGGCACUUGUUGUCUGAGUAACCUGCUGUUGCCAUCCUUGGGUGGAACCUGUGUGGCAUUAGGUUGUCGUGCAGGGGAGGCCCAUCAUUUACUGUGAAAAAAUUAGAGUGUUCAAAGCAGGCUUAUGCCGUUGAAUAUAUUAGCAUGGAAUAAUGAGAUAGGACUUUUUUGCUAUUUUGUUGGUUUGCGCAAGAAGGUAAUGAUUAAUAGGGACAGUUGGGGGUAUUCGUAUUCCAUUGUCAGAGGUGAAAUUCUUGGAUUUUUGGAAGACGAACUACUGCGAAAGCAUUUACCAAGGAUGUUUUCAUUAA